rnacentral:tRNA from 1 species
GGGAAGAUGGCUCAGUGGUAGAGUGCUUGCUUUGCAUGCAUGAGGCCCUGGGUUCGAUUCCUCAGUACCA